AAUCAGCGCUGGCGGCGUGCCUCAGACAUGCAAGUCGAACGAUUAAACUUUCCUUCGGGAAAGAUAUAAAGUGGCGCACGGGUGAGUAACACGUAAGUAAUCUACCUUUGAGUGGGGAAUAACGUUCGGAAACGGACGCUAAUACCGCAUAAUGCAGCGGCAUCGCAAGAUGACAGUUGUUAAAGAUUUAUCGCUUGAAGAGGAGCUUGCGGCAGAUUAGCUAGUUGGUAAGGUAACGGCUUACCAAGGCUACGAUCUGUAUCCGGUCUAAGAGGACGGUCGGACACACUGACACUGAAUAACGGGUCAGACUCCUACGGGAGGCAGCAGUCGGGAAUUUUGGGCAAUGGGGGAAACCCGUGACCCAGCAACGCCGCGUGAAGGAUGAAGUAUUUCGGUAUGUAAACUU
rnacentral:rRNA from 1 species